GACGGAAGGUGCAAGCGUUGCUCGGAAUCACUGGGCGUAAAGGGCGCGUAGGCGGCUUGUAGAGUCGGGUGUGAAAUUCCUGGGCUUAACCCAGGAACUGCACUCGAAACUACUUGUCUUGAGUACCGGAGAGGAAAGCGGAAUUCCUGGUGUAGAGGUGAAAUUCGUAGAUAUCGGGAGGAACACCGGUGGCGAAGGCGGCGACCUGGGUCGAUACUGACGCUGAUGCGCGAAAGCGUGGGGAGCAAACAGG
rnacentral:rRNA from 1 species